GAUGAACGCUGGCGGCGUGCCUAAUACAUGCAAGUCGAGCGAACGGACGAGAAGCUUGCUUCUCUGAUGUUAGCGGCGGACGGGUGAGUAACACGUGGAUAACCUACCUAUAAGACUGGGAGAACUUCGGGAAACCGGAGCUAAUACCGGAUAAUAUUUUGAACCGCAUGGUUCAAGAGUGAAAGACGGUCUUGCUGUCACUUAUAGAUGGAUCCGCGCUGCAUUAGCUAGUUGGUAAGGUAACGGCUUACCAAGGCAACGAUGCAUAGCCGACCUGAGAGGGUGAUCGGCCACACUGGAACUGAGACACGGUCCAGACUCCUACGGGAGGCAGCAGUAGGGAAUCUUCCGCAAUGGGCGAAAGCCUGACGGAGCAACGCCGCGUGAGUGAUGAAGGUCUUCGGAUCGUAAAACUCUUUUAUUAGGGAAGAACAUAUGUGUAAGUAACUGUGCACAUCUUGACGGUACCUAAUCAGAAAGCCACGGCUAACUACGUG
rnacentral:rRNA from 1 species